rnacentral:rRNA from 1 species
UACGUAGGUGGCAAGCGUUGUCCGGAUUAUUGGGUUUAAAGGGUGCGUAGGCGGUCUUCUAAGUCAGUUGUGAAAUACUUCAGCUUAACUGAGAGGUGCAAUUGAUACUGGAAGACUUGAGUACUGAUGAGGUAGGCGGAAUGGACGGUGUAGCGGUGAAAUGCUUAGGAUAUCGUCCAGAACACCGAUAGCGAAGGCAGCUACUAAGGAGUAACUGACGCUGAGGCACGAAACGUGUGGGGAUCAAACAGGGA